UACAGAGGGCGGCGAAGCCGCGAGGUGGAGCGAAUCCCAAAAAGCCGGUCUAAGUUCGGAUUGCAGGCUGCAACCCGCCUGCAUGAAGUCGGAAUCGCUAGUAAUCGCGAGUCAGCGUAUCGCGGUGAAUACGUUCCCGGGUCUUGUACACACCGCCCGUCACACCAUGGGAGUUGGCAACACCCGAAGUCGAUGAGCUAACCGUAAGGAGGCAGUCGCCUAAGGUGGGGUUGAUAACUGGGGUGAAGUCGUAACAAGGUAAC
rnacentral:rRNA from 1 species